rnacentral:rRNA from 1 species
AUGGAAUCAUUUCCGCCAAAUGUGACGUUCAGAAGAGAUUUAAUUGGACCCAGACUCCAAUUGUGGAACAUCCUGCUACAACGAUUGUCCAUGGUGCAAUUGACACAUGAGUCUGAUGUAUAUCGAUCGAACCUCCAUGGGAAUGGACAAUUCUCAAUGGAGUCUAUGUAUUGAGCGUUAAUCCAGUCUGAUGUGCCAGUUGAUAAUAAGAAGAAGAUCUGGAAGAUGAAGAUACCUCUUAAGAAUAAAAUCUUUGCAUGGUAUCUUCGUCGCGGAGUCAUUCUUACUAAAGACAACCUUAUUAAGAGGAAUUGGCAUGGAAGUUCACAAUGUGUAUUUUUUCACCAUGAUGAGACAAUAAAACAUUUAUUCUUCCAAUGCAAAUUGGCUCAUUCUAUAUGGCUAGCCAUCCAAAUAGCUACUGGCUUGUAUCCUCCCUGUAGUGUUGCUAAUGAAUUUGGCAACUGGUUACAUGGGAUUGAUCACAGGUUUAGAACUCUUCUUAGGGUGUGA